GCAAUCAAACUUUCGGUCACAUGACCAGGAGGAAGUUGGUGUCUGUGUUAACAAGGGAAAGAACCCACUUGCUAAACCUCAGACUCACGCUGAAAUAUGCUGCAAAUCUUCAUCCUCAGCGUGCUUCCAUGGAUCACAGCCGUCCUCUGUGGGCUGACAACGGAGAAGCAGUUUGACAUCCUGGAGGGUCGAUCCCUCACCAUCCCGUGCCAUUAUGAGCCUCAGUACGCCAGCUAUGUAAAAUACUGGUGUCGAGGGAAGAUGAGAGAGUUCUGCACCAGCUUAACUCGCACCGAUGACCCUCACACAAGCAACGCUGCUGUGGACAAAGUGAGCAUCGUCGAUGACCCAGUACAGCUGGUGUUCACGGUGGUCAUGAAUGACCUGAAGGAGGAUGAUUCUGGCUGGUACAUGUGUGGUAUGGAGGUGGGGGGGUUGUGGAGCGCUGACGUUAGUGCCUACACUUACAUCAGUGUCAUUCAUGGUAUGUUAGUCAACAGCCCACUGAUUGGAGAGGAGGGGAGCAGUGUCAAAGCUGAAUGCCUCUACAGCAAGAGAUUCAGGGAAAGUGAGAAGAAGUGGUGUCGGAAAGACGACUUGGGCUCGUGUGUGUCGACAGGCUCUGAGAGGAGCCGUGAAGACACUUCAGUGAGCAUCAGUGAUGACAGAACUGGGGCUUUCUCCGUGACCUUGAAGAAGCUACAGAUGAACGACACCGGCUGGUACUGGUGUUCCGCAGGACAGGAGAAAAAGUUUGUGCACCUGCUGGUCACAUCGCGACCCACAACUGCUUCUGUGACGUCCCCACCUCCACCGAGUCAGGAUGAUGCACACCAGUCCGUCACUGGUGAACUGUGGAGCAUGCACAGCCACAUCCUAGGGGCUCUGCUGGUCUGUUUUUCUGUCAUGUUUCUGGUGGGCCUGGCUAUACUGGCAAGGAGGCUGUGGAUAAUGCAAACGUUGCAGAAGUGGGGUUGGCCCAGAAAGCCCAGAGGACUUUGGACCUACGGCUGCUGCAGACAGAGUUUGUCUUCUUAAUGAGAUAAUACAAUGGUGAGGACAGAAAACUGAAGUAAAGCCAGACGAGCAGAGUGAGGAAAAGUCCGAUGUUGCUGCUUGUCCCAGUGAAGACAGCAACACCAGCAUGACAUCGGCUGAUUCUGUCCCAAUGAUGGAUGGAGCUACACCUAACAUGAAGCUGGAGCAACUAAGUCCAAGGACAUAAAGAGUGGAUCCAAAGACCAGUAGCAGUGAUAUAUACCCCCACCUCCAUUCAUAACUGAUCUCUCACAGACGACCACCUCUGCCUUCAGGCUCUGUUUAAAUCAGGGGUCAUGGACAUUGUGUACAUAAUCACACUGACAUCAAAAAAACUGUUUAAUUCCAUGAUUUUUAAAAAAAUACAAUUUAAAGACAAAAUGAAAAAUAAGCAAAGCAACAAACUCUUUCCACAGUCUUUGAAGAGCCAGAAUCAGAGACACUGUACCUCUGUCUCCCAGCGUCACCAAGUGCAACACAUAUUCCUUUUGACAUUUUUGAAUUUUUGAGAUUAUUUGUACAUUGUGUGACACUAAUACUGAAACAGCGGCAUGUCUUUCCUUUUUGC